rnacentral:rRNA from 1 species
CCCUUAGAUGUUCUGGGCCGCACGCGUGCUACACUGAGUGGAUCAGCGGGUCAGGUUGCGCGAAAGUGUUUCCUAAUCUUUAAAUCCGCUCGUGAUGGGGAUUGACGGUUGCAAUUUUCCGUCAUGAACGAGGAAUACCUUGUAAGCGCGGGUCAUCAUCCCGCGCUGAAUACGUCCCUGCCCUUUGUACACACCGCCCGUCGCUCCUACCGAUUGAGUGGUCCGGUGAGGCUUUGGGAUCUGAGCGGAAAGAGCGUUUCGCUGUUUCUGCCCGGAAAACCCAGUCGAACCUUAUCGUUUAGAGGAAGGAGAAGUCGUAACA